UACAUGAGUGGUAAGCAUUAUCCGUAUUGAUUGGGUGUAUAGGAUAAGUAGAUUGUAAUUACAAAUAAUUUUUACUGUAUUGGUUUUACAGGAAUGAAUUUAUUUAUUUUUACUUGAGUUUUUUUAAAGUAAAUAACAUCAACAAAUUAGUGAUAAAAUACAUAGAGUUUGUUGGGUUUUUCUAAGGUGAAGACAUUUUACUAAAAAAAACUGACAUUGAUUUAUGAAAGUAUAGGUUACGACAAGGAUUUGGAACCCUAUUAGUCUAUACUGUAAAAGAUGAGUAUUAAACUUUUAGUUUUAGUUAACACGAUAAUACUCCACCUGGGGAGUACGAUUAUGAUUUUUUAUCAGAGUUGAAACUUAACAAAAUUGGGCGGGAAUUUUUUCGGAGGGGGGAACAGGGGGUUUAAUUCGUUAUUCCCCGAAAAUUUUUCCCACCAUGAAAAUUUUUUUUAUUUGGGAAUUGUUUUUUUUUUUUUUUUAAAAAAAAUUUUGGUUUUCCAUGGCGUUCUCCAGUUCGGGUUGGGAAAUUUGGAAUUAAGUUUUUUACCGAACCCAACCCUUAAAAUUAGUUUUUUAAAAAACCCAAGGUUUUUUUAUUUAAAUUAAAGGUUAAUUUAUUUUUUUUUUUUUAAAAAAAAUAAAUUUAUAGGAGGUUAAAAGGCUGAAGUCAAGUCCUUAUGGUCCUAGUAUGUUGGGCUACACACGUGUUACAAAGGUGAAGACAAAAAGUUACAAUAAUGAAAAUUAGAGUAAAUCUUAAAAAAUCGAGCGUGAUGGGCGGUGUGUGCAA
rnacentral:rRNA from 1 species